UUUGUGCACCUUUACUAUAGCUUUGCAGUGGUAUUCGGUGUGUCAUGUGUAGGAUUGGUGGGAGCAUACGAAGUUUUGAC
rnacentral:rRNA from 1 species